GGAAAGAUGAAAAGAACUUUGAAAAGAGAGUUAAACAGUACGUGAAAUUGUUGAAAGGGAAACGAUUGAAGUCAGUCAUACCAACGGGAAAUCAACCUUUUGAGCUUGGUCUCGUGGGUUUUGAAGAGUUUCAAAGCCUUCGGAUUCGCGGGAUUGGGAUCUCUUGGUGUACUUUUUCGUACGGUUAGUCAACAUCGGUUUUGAAUGUCAUAAAAUGACUGGAGGAAUGUAGCUUCGAUCUCGUAUUGAAGUGUUAUAGCCUUUGGUAGAUGUGAUGUUUGAGACCGAGGAUUGCAACGGAUACCCUUCAGGGCUAUCCGUCUGAUCUCUGAUACGUUGCCUUGAUGUUGAAAGCUUGCUUAUGAUGUUAGGGUAUUACGGUCAAAAGGUUAGAACGAAUUACAUUCGUUAAGGAUGUUGACGUAAUGACUUUAAACGACCCGUCUUGAAACACGGACCA
rnacentral:rRNA from 1 species